rnacentral:rRNA from 2 species
ACCUGGUUGAUUCUGCCAGUAGUCAUAUGCUUGUCUCAAAGAUUAAGCCAUGCAUGUCUAAGUAUAAGCAAUUACAAAGCGAAACUGCGAAUGGCUCAUUAUAUAAGUUAUCGUUUAUUUGAUAGUACCUUACUACAUGGAUAACCGUGGUAAUUCUAG